AGCUUUGAACAGUGGCAGUAUUGUAGCCAAUGAGGUUUAUCCAAGGUACGAUUAUUGCUAAUUGAAAACUCAAGUCACCAU
rnacentral:snRNA from 1 species